AUGCAGUAUAUUCUCCCACUGGCACACGUGGAUUCGUCAUACGGUCUUUUAGCAGUGAAAAUGGAAAUGGAGAGGACUAUCGUUAUUGAUUAUUCAAACCAGGCUUUAUUUCAGUUUGAGGAGAACUUCCAUGACACUGAACUUCAUAGGGAAGCCCUUUUAGCGAAGCAAGAAUUGAGCUUUGUCUUGCAACAGGAGGCCCCUAAUAGGAACAGCCAACUUCUGGAAUGGCCUGAACAAGAGAAUAUUCAUGUUUCACCUCGGCGGUACUGUUUUAAAUUUGUCUUAGGUAUUAGUGUGUGUUCUAAUAUAGCUAUUACAAUAUUGUGUUUUUUUGUGACAGCAUGGACUCCAGAUUCAAAGUUUUACAAGAGAUGGCCCAUCUGUAUGAAACUAUCGGGAAUGACAUGGUUCAUAACAUGCCUAGGACUGAUGUAA
rnacentral:rRNA from 1 species